AAGCUCAAGAAAUGGAAAGCAAAAUGGCCUAUGAAAGGAACCUCCUUUGGCGCUGGAAAUGGCUACUUGGCUCUUCUUGCGAUCCUUUUCAAGAAAACUGCGAUGACCCUUCGUCUGAAAUCGAAACCCAUCUCGGCAGAAGAAGAAGAAGAAGGAGAAGGAGAACCCACGAACCCAUCUCGCUCCGGCGAUGAACCCGCGAAAAAAUCGACGAGGGUCGAUCUUGGAAACGGGAGCGAGGUCGUGUACAUGCCCCGCUUCCUCUCGCGCGACGAGUCGUGGCGGUUUUGCGACUACCUCGACAAGCACAUCCCUUGGACGAGACCCACGAUCCGGGUCUUUGGACGCACUUGUUUGCAGCCCAGAGAUACAUGCUAUAUCGCAGAUGCUGGUCUGACAGAAUUGGUGUACAGUGGAUAUCAACCACAUGCCUACUCGUGGGACGAUUAUCCCUUGCUCAAGGAAAUCUUGGAGGCGGUUCACAAUGCACUUCCUGGAAGUAAAUUCAAUUCCCUUCUAUUAAAUAGAUACAAAGGGGGCAAUGACUAUGUAGGUUGGCAUUCUGACGACGAGAAACUAUAUGGAUCUACUCCAGAAAUCGCCUCUGUUUCCUUUGGAUGCGAACGCGAUUUUUCCUCAAGAAGAAACCCAGUAAAAACUCCCAAGCAAGAAGACCGGAUGAUGAACCAGUAAGGAAACGAUCAAGGAUGGGCGGUGAUGCUGAUCAACACACGUUUGUCCUGAAGCAUGGCUCCUUGCUAGUGAUGAGAGGCUACACGCAACGGGAUUGGGUCCACUCGGUACCAAAGCGUGCCAAAGCGGAGGGACUCCGGAUCAAUCUGACCUUCAGGCGCAUCAUCUCAUAACUGAUGGAAUUUUGCACAAACAAAGAACAGAAGGAGAUCAGCAUUGUUUCUCUCAUACCCAUUUGCUGAGUCUGUAUUAGGAAGAUGCUCCUCAUAGUUUGCUCUCUUUUUCGUGCUCUUAUUCCUCUUCAGGCGAGAGAUCGGAUUGUACUAAUCCUCUGUUUAAGCCGUAAACGCUUCUGAGUAAUCGUGGUAUGCUGCUUUCUUUGCGCUGAGAUCAUCAUUCUAUCCAAUGAAAAGAACAUAUCCAAACAUGCUUCCAGAUCUGGAUAUGACCUGGACAUGACCUGUUCAGCAAUUCGUGGAAAAACAUUGAUUGUA